rnacentral:rRNA from 1 species
GUCCUGGCUGUAACGGUGCACGUUGCUGUAAAGGAAUCGACCCUUUGUGGCGAAGCUAACGCGAUAACGUGCCGCCUGGGAAGUACGGUCGCAAGAUUAAACUCAAGAAUUGACGGGCCUGCACAAGCGGUGGAGUAUGUGGCUUAAUUCGAUGCAACGCGAAGAACCUUACCUGGCCUUGACAUGCAAGUGGUAGAACCAUGAAAGUGGGACGACCCGCAAGGGAGCUUGCACAGGUGCUGCAUGGCUGUCGU